rnacentral:rRNA from 1 species
AGAGUUUGAUCCUGGCUCAGGAUGAACGCUAGCGGCAGGCUUAAUACAUGCAAGUCGUGGGGCAGCGGGGGUAGCAAUACCUGCCGGCGACCGGCAAACGGGUGAGGAACAUGUACGCAACCUUCCUUUAACUGGAGAAUAGCCCCUCGAAAGAGGGAUUAAUACUCCGUAAUAUAUUGAUAAGGCAUCUUAUUAAUAUAAUAGCUCCGGCGGUUAAAGAUGGGCGUGCACCUGAUUAGAUAGUUGGCGGGGUAAUGGCCCACCAAGUCUGCGAUCAGUAAUUGGUGUGAGAGCACGACCAGUCACACGGGCACUGAGACACGGGCCCGACUCCUACGGGAGGCAGCAGUAAGGAAUAUUGGUCAAUGGACGCAAGUCUGAACCAGCCAUGCCGCGUGGAGGAUUAAGGCCCUCUGGGUUGUAAACUCCUUUUAUCUGGGAAGAAAUGUCUGCAUUCUUGCGGACUUGACGGUACCAGAGGAAUAAGCACCGGCUAACUCCGUGCCAGCAGCCGCGGUAAUACGGAGGGUGCAAGCGUUAUCCGGAUUCACUGGGUUUAAAGGGUGCGUAGGCGGAUAGGUAAGUCAGUGGUGAAAUCUCCGAGCUUAACUCGGAAACUGCCGUUGAUACUAUUUGUCUUGAAUAUUGUGGAGGUAAGCGGAAUAUGUCAUGUAGCGGUGAAAUGCUUAGAUAUGACAUAGAACACCAAUUGCGAAGGCAGCUUACUACACAAUUAUUGACGCUGAGGCACGAAAGCGUGGGGAUCAAACAGGAUUAGAUACCCUGGUAGUCCACGCCCUAAACGAUGAUUACUCGACAUACGCGAUAUACUGUGUGUGUCUGAGCGAAGCAUUAAGUAAUCCACCUGGGAAGUACGACCGCAAGGUGAAACUCAAAGGAAUUGACGG